CUACGGGGGGCAGCAGUAGGGAAUAUUGCGCAAUGGGCGAAAGCCUGACGCAGCGACGCCGCGUGAGUGAUGAAGGUCCUCUGGAUUGUAAAGCUCUGUAAGGAGGGAAGAACCGCCUGGUGUAACGGCCAGGUCUGACGGUACCUCCAAAGUAAGCACCGGCCAAAUAAGUGCCAGCAGCCGCGGUAAUACUUAUGGUGCGAGCGUUGUCCGGAAUGACUGGGCGUAAAGGGUGCGUAGGCGGACUUUCAAGUCAGGUGUGAAAUCCCCGGGCUUAACCUGGGAACUGCGCUUGAAACUGGAAGUCUAGAGUAUGUGAGGGGUUAGCGGAAUUCCCGGAGUAGCGGUGAAAUGCGUAGAGAUCGGGAAGAACACCGGUGGCGAAGGCGGCUAACUGGCACAUGACCGACGCUGAGGCACGAAAGCGUGGGGAGCGAACGGGAUUAGAUACCCGCGUAGUC
rnacentral:rRNA from 1 species